rnacentral:rRNA from 1 species
UACAGAGGUCUCAAGCGUUGUUCGGAAUUACUGGGCGUAAAGGGUGUGUAGGUGGUAUGCAAAGUCUACUGUUAAAGCUUCGAGCUCAACUCGGAAAUGCAGUGGAUACUAUCAUGCUAGAGGAUUGGAGAAGAGAUUGGAAUUCUCGGUGUAGCAGUGAAAUGCGUAGAUAUCGAGAGGAACAUCAGUGGCGAAAGCGAAUCUCUAGACAAUUUCUGACACUGAGACACGAAAGCUAGGGGAGCAAACAGG